AGCCCGCUCAGAAACUACAAAGGAAUUGACGGGGGCCCGGCACAAGCGGUGGAGUAUGUGGUUUAAUUCGAUGCAACGCGAAGAACCUUACCAGGCCUUGACAUGCAGAGAACUUUCCAGAGAUGGAUUGGUGCCUUCGGGAACUCUGACACAGGUGCUGCAUGGCUGUCGUCAGCUCGUGUCGUGAGAUGUUGGGUUAAGUCCCGUAACGAGCGCAACCCUUGUCCUUAGUUACCAGCACGUUAUGGUGGGCACUCUAAGGAGACUGCCGGUGACAAACCGGAGGAAGGUGGGGAUGACGUCAAGUCCUCAUGGCCUUUAUGACCAGGGCUACACACGUACUACAAUGGCCGAUACAAAGGGCAGCGACACUGCGAAGUGAAGCCAAUCCCGUAAAAUCGGUCUCAGUCCGGAUUGGAGUCUGCAACUCGACUCCAUGAAGUUGGAAUCGCUAGUAAUCGUGGAUCAGCAUGCCACGGUGAAUACGUUCCCGGGCCUU
rnacentral:rRNA from 1 species